rnacentral:rRNA from 1 species
GAUGAACGCUGACAGAAGGCUUAACACAUGCAAGUCGACUUGAACUUCGGGGUGGUUGGCGGACGGGUGAGUAACGCGUAGAGAACUUGCCUCACAGUGAGGGGCAACAUUUGGAAACGUAUGCUAAUACCUGAGAUUAUGAUUUUAGGGCAUCCUAGAAUUAUGAAAGCUAUAUGCGCUGUGAGAGAGCUUUGCGUCCCAUUAGCUAGUUGGAGAGGUAACGGCUCACCAAGGCGAUGAUGGGUAGCCGGCCUGAGAGGGUGAACGGCCACAAGGGGACUGAGACACGGCCCUUACUCCUACGGGAGGCAGCAGUGGGGAAUAUUGGACAAUGGACCAAGAGUCUGAUCCAGCAAUUCUGUGUGCACGAUGAAGUUUUUCGGAAUGUAAAGUGCUUUCAGUUGGGAAGAAAAAAAUGACGGUACCAACAGAAGAAGUGACGGCUAAAUACGUG